AUGAGUAGCUAGAAGCAAACGCGCAUCAGACAUAUACUAGAAACCUAUUGACGCAAACGUCAAAGUGGGCUGCAAGCGGUUAAUUUUACGUAGUUUGGAAUUUCCAAUCCCUAAUACCCGUCGUGUGGUAAUUCCUGUCCUCACACCCUUCUCACCUACCGUGGAUGGCUCAGUCUGUGAUGACGUUCAGGCUAUAGCAGCGCGAUCGGGAAGAACCCGUGAGAGACUGGAAACUGCUUACCAUAAAAGGUAUAUUGGAGAGCAUCGGAAUUGGUAAUAUUCAUGGCGUCACGAAAGAAACACACCAUCUUAUAGAGAUAUUGCAAUACGCAGUUGAAAAUGAUGGACAUUACAAGCAAACUACGUUUCAGGAUCAAAACUCCAAACCAAACGAUCGAGGCAGUGGUGGACAGCUACCGAACGGAUGAAGAUGAUAUCGGAGCGUUGUAUUACGUCAUUGCUGUCGUCAUGAUCUACGGUCUCUCUAUAGUUAUGAUGAUAGCGUCACAUAUACGCAGAAACAAACAGGAUAGUCAGUUACGUAGCUAUUUGAAGGAAAUGUCUAUACUCCGCAAAAACGACAGGCGAGAACGAAUUUUCAAUCGGGUAGCGAACGUUCCUCCUAGUGCUAAACCGUUAUUUUAUAAAACCCGAAACGACGCAAAGAAUAACUCCGAUGCCAUUGCGACCUUACAUGAAAAUGACGAUGGACUCCAUGAUAUGCGUAUGUCAAGUAAUUGUAGUGAUGAAAACACUGACUCCGUGUUUCAGAUGUCGUGUGACGAAACACAGGAAUUUGUGACGUAUAAUUAUGCGGAGAACCAAACCAGAAGGUCCAGCAAACACAGCAAUGCGCAGAUCGAAGUCAUUGAUGAAAAUGUUCCUUUGUAACCCGCGAAAAUGGAAUCUCCAGAUUGUUGAACUGUGCUUCUUUAAUACACUGGGAAGAAUCUCUCUGUUCCUGUUCUAAAACUAAAGUGUUCAGUGUCGUACUGCAUAUUGAUAAACUGAUUUUGGAACGUAUAUUACAGUUUGGAUUGUAGAUUUAAACAAGAAAAUGGGGAUAAAUCAUCGAAUUUUUAAAGCAUGUACAUGUAUUUGAUUGUAUAUUAUGAUUUUGCUGACUUUUAGCCUGUAUUAUCCAUCAGAUUUAUGUGCGAGAUGCAUACAGUGUAUGAUAUGACCGAUGUGACAGUACAAAUGUUUAUAAAUUUGUUUUGAUUCUAAAAUGAAUUUGUUGACAUACUUUAUAUGUGCUUACUGAAAGUAUGUUGUGUUUAUCUAUAAAAAGUUAUCAAACGGUAUUGGAAAACUACAGGUAUUUUUAUGUUGUGGAUAGUAUUGGUUUUUGUGUAUAACAUCUACUAUACAGGUAUUUCUUUGUUGUGGAUAAUAUCUUGGGUUUUUAAUUGUUUUUUUCUUUCUUUUAUUUUAGCCCUUAACCUGGAAAAGCUUAAAGUUCAUUUUACUUUCAUUAGAAUCCAUCAUCGGACUUUAAGAAUCCUGCCAGUACUGCACUUUUUAUAAUUACAUCAUCGAUCUUAAUGAUGAGAAACCAUCAUUGCACAUUUUAUUAUUAACUCAUUAUGGUACGUUAAUGAGAAUCCACGUUUUUUUUUCCUGAGAACCCAUCGUUGGUUGUUUUUUUUUAUGAUAAGAACACAUCGUUGUAUAUUUUUAAUCAUGAAAACCCAUUGCACUUUUUAUCAUAAAAAUACAUCAUAGUACAUGUAUUUUUAUAACCUUUUCAUGUCUCAAAUUGUAGAAGAGCACAUUAUAUUGAUCAUUUGGUAAGGUAAAUCCAAUUAUUUUUGUAUGUAAUAUAUGUAGCAAUCUAUGUUAUAUUAUUUGAAUUUUCCUGUCAAAAAUAUUGAUAUAUCAUGUUGAUAUAACGUCUAAGGUGAAGAAUGUUGAUGUAUAAAGAAGGUUAAUUAAUUAAUCAU